rnacentral:sRNA from 1 species
UUCCACUUUUUUUAGGCUCGCAGCCCUCCCCACCGUGGUAGCCGGUAGUUGUGCCUGUUUCGAGCAUAAAAUACUGUGUAACAUUCAUAUCACUUACCUUAGACGGAGGAUGGGCAAGAGCCGUUGGCAGUGGAUUGCUAAAUGUUGACUUUAUUGGUGAACAAGAAGAAGACCCUGGAAAACUGCCCUCAGUUCCCUUUUUGCCCUUUUUUUCCCUGUGGUUGCUGGAAUUGUUGAAGAGGCGGGGGGGAGUUGGAAGAUUUUUUAUUCCAUGGCAACGCUGUUACUUUGUCGGUUUCUCUUUGUUUCGGGAUGCUCAAUAUAAUAUUGGAGCCGUAGCUUCCGAUGUACAGUACAUGGGGGUUUUUUUUUUUCCCUUUCAUCCACUAUUUCACAUCAACCUCGGCGGGAUCAUAGCCGUCGGAUUUGUGAUGAAGAUCAGUGAG